CAGAUUGCAGAGAACUUGAUCAAACGCCUUCAUGCAAUUGUUCCUUGAUGGGAACUUGUGACAUCAUGCCAAGUGAUGCUAAAGUUAACAUAUCUACAGCACCAGAUGACAUACAGCCAACACAACAGUGUCUAGUUCAUUGUCAAAAGAAAUGUUUCUGUGCCUCCUUUGUUAAAAAGAUCUAGCAAUGUGACGAGAGAGGCCUUAAAGUACAAAGAGCGCUCUUCAACUGUGUCUGCUGAAUAAAUGCGUCUGUGCAAUCACUACUGGCAGCUGAGAUGAGGUGUAGAAUGUUGACAAAAAGCUCACAUCCAGGCAGUAAGUUGGUAAGGACAGACUGGAGCUACUGUUGCCUUUCUCAUUUUUUUUUUUCUUUGUCUCCUGUACAUCUCCCAUGAACAUUUGCUUGAGGUUAUCCUGUCAAGCUACUGUUUGCUGCAUGAAAAGGACACAUCUGCUGCUCAAGAUCUGCUACGUCAUUUUGCUCCACAAGAUGAGACUUUGUUGGGAUAGUUACGUAAAGUGAUCGUGUUGGUGAGUUUUACAUUUGUUUGUGUCUACACCAUUCAAGCAUACCACGGAUUCAACCAGAUUCGUCAAUCCUCAGACAUGAUCAGAACGCCACUUUGGUAAGU